rnacentral:tRNA from 1 species
AAGAGAUUAAAUAAAUCAGCCGCUAACUGAAUUUUUAAGCAAUAUAAAUGUUUAUCUCUUA